GCGAUGAAGAAGAAGAUGAUGCGUUGCUAUCGUUCGAUCCUUCGCUAUUUGCAAAUCAUCUUAUUGGUUACAAUGUAAUAUUUCUUACAACGAUUUAUUAUAUUCAACAUCUAUUUGUAUAAAAUUUGUUGCUUGUUUCGCAUCAAUUUCAUGCUUAUAUAAAAUUCUGACACGUUUCGUUGUCAUGAUUAGAAAGUAUACAUAUAUUCCCGCCACACAACAGGUUAUCAUAAUAUGAUGUGCAAAGCACACGUCGUGUCACUCUUACCAAGAACCAAUCUAGCUACUUCCGAAGACUUCGAAACGAUACCAUAAUAUGAAUCCUAAAGAUCUUGAAUGGAAGUAACUUCUUGGUCAAAACAAUUUUGCCAACAUCAAAACUGUUUAUACUUUUCUCCAUGCCUUAGUGAUUCUCAUGUUUAAUAAAUGAUUUGUUUGAUAUCGGAAUAGG